GACGAACGCUGGCGGCAUGCCUAACACAUGCAAGUCGAACGGUACCUUCGGGUCUAUUUGCGCAGGGGUGGGUGACGCGGGGGCAGCUACCCGCAGGUUCGGUAUCCUUCACAGUAAUUUGAGCUAAUACCGGAUGAGGACGUAAGUCAAACGAUUUAUUGCCUGAGGGUGAGGCUGGGUAGGAUUAGGUAGUUGGUGGGGUAAAGGCUCACCAAGCCGACGAUGCUUAGCUGGUCUGAGAGGAUGAUCAGCCACGCUGGGGCUGAGACACGGCCCCGACUCCUACGGGAGGCAGCAGUGGGGAAUAUUGUACAAUGGGCGAAAGCCUGAUCCAGCAAUGCCGCGUGAGUGAUGAAGGCCUUAGGGUUGUAAAGCUCUUUUACCCGGGAUGAUAAUGACGGUACCGGGAGAAUAAGCGCCGGCUAACUACGUG
rnacentral:rRNA from 1 species